rnacentral:rRNA from 1 species
UAGAUACCCGGGUAGUCCACGCCGUAAACGAUGAGCACUAGAUUUUGGGGGUAUUGACUCCUUCAGAAUCGCAGCUAACGCAUUAAGUGCUCCGCCUGGGGAGUACGGUCGCAAGACUAAAACUCAAAGGAAUUGACGGGGGCCCGCACAAGCGGUGGAUUACGUGGUUUAAUUCGAAGCAACGCGAAGAACCUUACCUAGGCUUGAACUCCUGAGAAUUCCGGGUAAUGCCGGAAGUGCCCUUCGGGGAAUUCAGUGAGAGGUGCUGCAUGGCCGCCGUCAGAAG